CAUAGUUUAUAAAAUGGGGCGAGAAUUUUCAUUCUAUGUGCGACUAAUAAAACAUAUGAGUUGUAAUUAUAAAGUAUAUUAUGCCUAAAAUAGAUUUGAAGUUUACCAACAUAAAAAGCAUGAGCAAAGUAAACAAUGUUUGGGCGGGAGCGACAGUCUUGAAGAACAUUAAAUUCAGCACAAUUAGAAUUAUGAACUUUCCGUAAUUGUACUACAGGCAGCACCCGCAUAGGAAUACGAUGUCAUCAAUUGGGCUUCGGUGAGAAUUCGGCGGAAUCAGCAGUUUUCAUCUCGCGACAGUUCGGUAGGAAGUAAUCAACAGCAUAGUUCAAAUCAACCUGAAGCCAAAUAUGAAAAACUAAAAAAAAGGAGCUAGGACGAGAAUCCGAACUGAGAUACAUCGAGCGACAUAUAAUAUUUCAUGAAAUCGUCCGAUCAAUUUGCCCGGGCCGGUGAAAUGGAAGGGCUCAGAAGACCAGCAGAAGAAAAGGAUUUUAUUUGAGUCGUGAAACCUCCAUUGAAACGAUUGGCUCUUAUGUCGUACACUGUCGUACAUAUUCGGAUCAUCGUCGCCCCCUCAUUGAACAAUCAAAAAUCACCGCUCACCAUAUUAUCCGCAUUCGUUCGGCUCCUGAAGCAUGGCAAGAUAUAGGUGUCAAAGAGGUUAAAAAAAUGAA